CGAGCUGCGUAGGGCCGUAGUGUUUAAGUCGCAUAGUCAGGAAUUUGGGGCGACGCACUUAAGCACGUAAGGGGGGAUAUUUUACCGCGCAAGGGGGGGUUAUGUAUCUUACGUGCUUACGCGUUACGUCUAAAACAGAGCAUACAUCGGCCUUUACUCGUACUCGUCAGUGUCGUCACUUCUGCUCGUCGUCGUUGGAGGUUGGUUGCGGUCGGCUGAAGCUGCUGAAUUUUAUUGUCUGGAUUGAAGGUGGUGAUGGGAGCAGCAGCGUCCCCCGUGACAAGGACCUGGCUCGCCAGGACCGGGACCUGGCCCCACCUAACCCGGACUGAGUUCGAUAAAAAAUAUAUAUGCAUAUAUAUUAUUGUUUGAAUAUGUUUUGUGAUUCUCUUGAAUAUUCUUCAAUAUACUUUUGAUCAUUUGGUUGAUUUCAUCAAUAAACAAGUUGAUAUCAAUA